GUCAUAGCAACCUGGACGGCAGUCUCUGCUCGGUCGACCACCUCGUUAGUAUCGUCCUCCUUCAGGGAAAGGUUGUCGAGCAAGUCAAGCAUCUCAUCGACAGCAGUCAAAUACUCGACGGCAUCUUCGGGACAGUCGUACCAGGAGGGAAGGGAACUGCGAGAAGAGUCCCAUCUCAUGAUAACCUUCUCAGCAGAUUCGAGCUUCAACUGGGCCUUGCCGGCUUCGUCGUUGAUCAAAUCGGUGAUGUUGGAGAGACGAUUGUCGAAACUGGAGAAAAUGAGCAACAUGUCUUCUCUAACGUCCUUGGGAGUGUUGA
rnacentral:lncRNA from 1 species